UACAGAGGUCCCGAGCGUUGUUCGGAUUCAUUGGGCGUAAAGGGUGCGUAGGCUGCAUUGCAAGUCGGAUGUGAAAUCCCGGGGCUUAACCCCGGAACUGCAUUCGAUACUGCGGUGCUUGAGGACUCUAGAGGAAAUUGGAAUUCACGGUGUAGCAGUGAAAUGCGUAGAUAUCGUGAGGAAGACCAGUGGCGAAGGCGGAUUUCUGGAGAGUUCCUGACGCUGAGGCACGAAGGCCAGGGGAG
rnacentral:rRNA from 1 species